rnacentral:rRNA from 1 species
CUACGGAGGGUGCAAGCGUUAAUCGGAAUUACUGGGCGUAAAGCGCGCGUAGGCGGUUUAGUCAGUCAGAUGUGAAAGCCCCGGGCUCAACCUGGGAACUGCAUUUGAUACUGCUGAACUAGAGUAUGGUAGAGGGAAGUGGAAUUCCGGGUGUAGCGGUGAAAUGCGUAGAUAUCCGGAGGAACACCAGUGGCGAAGGCGACUUCCUGGACCAAUACUGACGCUGAGGUGCGAAAGCGUGGGUAGCAAACAGGAUUAGAAACCCUAGUAGUCC